rnacentral:rRNA from 1 species
AACGAACGCUGGCGGCAGGCUUAACACAUGCAAGUCGAACGCCUGUAGCAAUACAGGAGUGGCAGACGGGUGAGUAACACGUGGGAACGUGCCCAAAGGUACGGAACAACUCCGGGAAACUGGAGCUAAUACCGUAUGUGCCCGAAAGGGGAAAGAUUUAUCGCCUUUGGAUCGGCCCGCGUCUGAUUAGCUAGUUGGUGGGGUAAUGGCCUACCAAGGCGACGAUCAGUAGCUGGUCUGAGAGGAUGGCCAGCCACACUGGGACUGAGACACGGCCCAGACUCCUACGGGAGGCAGCAGUGGGGAAUAUUGGACAAUGGGCGCAAGCCUGAUCCAGCCAUGCCGCGUGAGUGAUGAAGGCCUUAGGGUUGUAAAGCUCUUUCGCCAGGGACGAUAAUGACGGUACCUGGAUAAGAAGUCCCGGCUAACUCCGUGCCAGCCGCCGCAGUAA